rnacentral:rRNA from 3 species
AGAGUUUGAUCCUGGCUCAGAUUGAACGCUGGCGGCAGGCCUAACACAUGCAAGUCGAACGGUAGCACAGAGAGCUUGCUCUCGGGUGACGAGUGGCGGACGGGUGAGUAAUGUCUGGGAAACUGCCUGAUGGAGGGGGAUAACUACUGGAAACGGUAGCUAAUACCGCAUAACGUCGCAAGACCAAAGAGGGGGACCUUCGGGCCUCUUGCCAUCAGAUGUGCCCAGAUGGGAUUAGCUAGUAGGUGGGGUAACGGCUCACCUAGGCGACGAUCCCUAGCUGGUCUGAGAGGAUGACCAGCCACACUGGAACUGAGACACGGUCCAGACUCCUACGGGAGGCAGCAGUGGGGAAUAUUGCACAAUGGGCGCAAGCCUGAUGCAGCCAUGCCGCGUGUAUGAAGAAGGCCUUCGGGUUGUAAAGUACUUUCAGCGGGGAGGAAGGUGUUGUGGUUAAUAACCACAGCAAUUGACGUUACCCGCAGAAGAAGCACCGGCUAACUCCGUGCCAGCAGCCGCGGUAAUACGGAGGGUGCAAGCGUUAAUCGGAAUUACUGGGCGUAAAGCGCACGCAGGCGGUCUGUCAAGUCGGAUGUGAAAUCCCCGGGCUCAACCUGGGAACUGCAUUCGAAACUGGCAGGCUAGAGUCUUGUAGAGGGGGGUAGAAUUCCAGGUGUAGCGGUGAAAUGCGUAGAGAUCUGGAGGAAUACCGGUGGCGAAGGCGGCCCCCUGGACAAAGACUGACGCUCAGGUGCGAAAGCGUGGGGAGCAAACAGGAUUAGAUACCCUGGUAGUCCACGCCGUAAACGAUGUCGACUUGGAGGUUGUGCCCUUGAGGCGUGGCUUCCGGAGCUAACGCGUUAAGUCGACCGCCUGGGGAGUACGGCCGCAAGGUUAAAACUCAAAUGAAUUGACGGGGGCCCGCACAAGCGGUGGAGCAUGUGGUUUAAUUCGAUGCAACGCGAAGAACCUUACCUACUCUUGACAUCCAGAGAACUUUCCAGAGAUGGAUUGGUGCCUUCGGGAACUCUGAGACAGGUGCUGCAUGGCUGUCGUCAGCUCGUGUUGUGAAAUGUUGGGUUAAGUCCCGCAACGAGCGCAACCCUUAUCCUUUGUUGCCAGCGGUCCGGCCGGGAACUCAAAGGAGACUGCCAGUGAUAAACUGGAGGAAGGUGGGGAUGACGUCAAGUCAUCAUGGCCCUUACGAGUAGGGCUACACACGUGCUACAAUGGCGCAUACAAAGAGAAGCGAACUCGCGAGAGCAAGCGGACCUCAUAAAGUGCGUCGUAGUCCGGAUUGGAGUCUGCAACUCGACUCCAUGAAGUCGGAAUCGCUAGUAAUCGUAGAUCAGAAUGCUACGGUGAAUACGUUCCCGGGCCUUGUACACACCGCCCGUCACACCAUGGGAGUGGGUUGCAAAAGAAGUAGGUAGCUUAACCUUCGGGAGGGCGCUUACCACUUUGUGAUUCAUGACUGGGGUGAAGUCGUAACAAGGUAACC